GGGAUACGGGGAUACGCAGUCAUUAAAAUGACAUAAUUAUUCGAGUACUUUAAGAGGAGAAUGGGUUUAUCAUUGAAAAAUAAUAGUUACUAACUAUUAUUUUUCAAUGAUAUACGGGGAUACGCAGUCAUUAAAAUGACGUAAUUAUUCGAGUAGUUUAAGAGGAGAAUUGGUAACUAUUAUUUUUCAAUGAUACCGGGAUACGCAGUCAUUAAAAUGACGUAAUUAUUCGAGUACUUUAAGAGGAGAAUGGGUUUAUCAUUGAAAAAUAAUAGUUACUAACUAUUAUUUUUCAAUGAUAUACGGGGAUACGCAGUCAUUAAAAUGACGUAAUUAUUCGAGUAGUUUAAAAGGAGAAUGGGUAACUAUUAUUUUUCAAUGAUGUACGGGGAUACGCAGUCAUUAAAAUGACGUAAUUAUUCGAGUAGUUUAAAAGGAGAAUGGGUAACUAUUAUUUUUCAAUGAUACGGGGAUACGGGGAUACGCAGUCAUUAAAAUGACGUAAUUAUUUGAGUAGUUUAAAAGGAGAAUGGGUAACUUAUUAUUUUUCAGUGAUACGGGGAUACGCAGUCAUUAAAAUGACGUAUUAUUUGAGUAGUUUAAAAGGAGAAUGGGUAACUAUUAUUUUUCAAUGAUACGGGGAUACGGGGAUACGCAGUCAUUAAAAUGACGUAAUUAUUUGAGUAGUUUAAAAGGAGAAUGGGUAACUAUCAUUUUUCAAUGAUACGGGGAUACGCAGUCAUUAAAAUGACGUAAUUAUUCGAGUAGUUUAAAAGGAGAAUGGGUAACUAUUAUUUUUCAAUGAUACGGGGAUACGCAGUCAAAUCGUGCUCAUUUGAUAUGCAAAAUUUAUACUAAUGAGUAAUAUUUUGUGCG
rnacentral:lncRNA from 1 species